GCAAGAGCUGGUGUUGGUGUGACGGCGCGAUUCAGCGGUUCGUCUGGGUUUCCCGGGACAGCUCCCGCUUUCCCCUGAGUGCUUCAACACCUCUAAAAGAGCAAGAUUUCUUUCACAAAAAGAGAUACGGCCCGAUUUGCGUCUUUUUAAAGAUGUCAUUUCGCCCGUGCGUUUCUGGGUGCGGUCGAUACAUCGCUCCUCGUGACGGUCACGAUCGCUGUGUCACGUGUCUGGGCUUUCAGCACGCUGAGACUGCGUUCGUGGAUGGCUCAUGUUCUCAUUGCGGGGACAUGACCAUCUCGGCGUUGAGAUCGAGACUCGAUUACCUUAAAAGGUAUAGAGUCCCCUCUGCCACACCCCGUUCUAGCUCUUCUUCUCGUAAGAGGGCUACUUCGGCUGGUGGCCAGGGUGAUCUGAGGGUUACCGUGUGGGCUUCCCCGACGAGCCAACCUCCUCGGACCACACCCCCCACACAUACGCCGCAGCCGGUUGAGUUUCCGUAUGUUUCCGUAUAUGAAGAGGACCGUAUGUCGAUCGCCGCAUCACAAGGCGGGCUUGAGUCCUCGGGAGAUGAGGGUUCGGCUGCGUUGCCUCCCUCGGGAGUGCCAGCGUUGUCCGAGUCCGAUCCCGAGCUGACGGCCGUGCUUUCCCGGGCAGCGGAGAGCAUCGGACUUGAGUGGAAUCCUCCGCCCUGUCCCGAGCGCUCGAGGCUGGAUGAUUGGUUCCUGGGGGCUGCUCAUGCGGAUCACCAGCACCCCCCUCUGGUUCCUUUCUUCCCGGAAGUGCACCAGGAAGUAACCAGUUCAUGGAAGGCACCUUUAACUGCCCGAAACCGUUCUGGUACUUCCUCCGCCUUCACUGCCCUCGAUGGCGGGGCGGCCAAGGGGUAUGCUGGGAUUCCCCCGGUGGAGCGUUCUGUUGCGAUGCAACUGUGUCCACAGAGCGCCUCCGCUUGGCGUGGUGGUCCCAAGCUGCCCUCCAAGGCCUGUAAGUUCUCAUCCACUCUUGUGGCCAAGGCUUACAGAGCUGCGGGCCAGGCCGCCUCUGCCUUGCAUGCCAUGGCCUCACUUCAGGUCUAUCAGGCCAAGCUGCUCCGGCAGCUGCACGAGGGCAGUGCUGACCCAGGGGUUUUGCAGGAGGCGCGNNNNNNNNNNNNNNNNNNNNNNNNNNNNNNNNNNNNNNNNNNNNNNNNN
ensembl:lncRNA